rnacentral:rRNA from 1 species
GACGAACGCUGGCGGCGUGCUUAACACGUGCAAGUCGAACGGAAAGGCCUGCUUUCCCUUGUGGAUUGCGGGUACUCGAGUGGCGAACGGGUGAGUAACACGUGAGUGAUCUGCCCCCAACUUGGGUAUAAGCCUGGGAAACUGGGUCUAAUUCCCGAUAGGACUGCAGGGUGGUGCCUGUGGUGGAAAACGAUUUUCUAGUGGUUGGGGAUGAGCUCGCGGCCUAUCAGCUUGUUGGUGGGGUAAUGGCCUACCAAGGCGGCGACGGGUAGCCGGCCUGAGAGGGUGGACGGCCACAUUGGGACUGAGAUACGGCCCAGACUCCUACGGGAGGCAGCAGUGGGGAAUAUUGCACAAUGGGCGGAAGCCUGAUGCAGCGACGCCGCGUGGGGGAUGACGGCCUUCGGGUGGUAAACUCCUUUCGACCGCGAGGAAGCCACCUGGUUGGAAGGGUGGUGACGGUAGUGGUAGAAGAAGCACCGGCUAACUACGUG